rnacentral:rRNA from 1 species
UACGUAGGGUGCAAGCGUUGUCCGGAAUUAUUGGGCGUAAAGAGCUCGUAGGCGGUCUGUCGCGUCGGCUGUGAAACCCGGGCUCAACCCGGGCCUGCAGUCGAUACGGGCAGACUAGAGUUCGGCAGGGAGACUGGAAUUCCUGGUGUAGGCGGUGAAAUGCGCAGAUAUCAGGAGGAACACCGGUGGCGAAGGCGGGUCUCUGGGCCGAUACUGACGUGAGGAGCGAAAGCGUGGGGAGCAAACAGG